rnacentral:lncRNA from 1 species
AAAAAAAAUUUUUUUGCUCAUUUGGUUCUGUUUCCAGAAAAAAAAAAAAAGGGAUAGAGAGAGAGAGAGCUUGGGGGGAGAGUUCGGUCGGCCACCGUCCUUCCACCGGACCACCACUUCGGUCGCCGUGCGACUCGCCGUCGGUCGUCGCUGCUGGUGGUUUCCAUUCACCGAAAAAUGCCAGAAAGUCAUCAGAACUUCCUCUUGACGCCCUCUUUCCAGAUCCGACGUUCGUUUUACCAAAAACAGCCCCGAUCAACGUAGAUCGGGGCUUGAAGCUUUCAGUUUCUUUCUUUUUUUUUUUUUUAGACGGCUUAAACUGAUGAUUUUUUUGCUUGUUUACAGGGCUUUCUGGCCCUGAGGUUCCUCCCUACGGGGAGGAUUGUUUGACUUCCUUUUUUUUUGUGUUUAUGUUUCUAUGUUUCUGGCUUUUUGCGUUUUUGUUUCUUUUUUUUUUGUUUCUGUUUCUGUUUUUUUUUUUUUUUUUUUGGGUUUCUGUUUUUGGGUAUUUUUAGGGUGUUUUGAGGGAGGUUUUCGGAGAGGUUGAAGGGAUUCGAGAGAAUUUUUUUUUUAGCCCGCCGAGCGCCCCCAAAUGAGGAAGAUGGCUGGGGAUUUUAAAGGGUUUUAACUUAGGGGGAUCUAGGGCUGUAGGGUUGUUAGUUGGUGGUUAUAGGGUGGUUGGUCGGGUAGUUGGUAAGGUAAUUGGUCGGAGAGUUGGUUGGGUAAUUGGUCGGAGAGUUGGUCGGGGCAGUUCGGCGUCGUACCAACCCCUUAACUUCUGUCUUAUUUCCGUUUUGUUUUUUUGUUUGUUUUGUUUUUUUCUAUUUUUUUGUUUGUUUUGUUAAAUAUUAUUAUUAUUAUAAAAUAAAUAAAUAAAUAAAUAAAAAGUAAAACAGUAGACCCGGACAAAAUCGAUGUCUACAGCUGCCCCUCUUUGCACAUUACUGAGAAUCAAGAGUUUUUUUUUAAAUGUGCCUUAAGACAUGAAACAAAGGUUAUUUAAGAAAAAAGGCUAAGUGUUUUUGUAUCUAUGGUCAUAGCAAAAUUUUGACACACAUUGGACUAUCAAUUGAAAAAUUUGAAAGAAUAUCUGAUUUUUGAAAUUCAAAACAAACUUUCAAAAUUAAUCUCUUUUGUUCUUUGCCCAAAAAAAGAUUAUCGGCCCUUUAAGAUUUAACUCUUAAUUGCAUUUUCUAUAAAAGGCAGAAUUUGAAAUAACUCUUUUCGCUUAAGAUUUAACACAAUAAUCCUUAAAAUGAAAUAACGCUCUUUAUAAAAAAUCGUUGGUGACUCUCCAACAUCUAGGCAGAGUACCAAGAAUUAUUUGUUUUUGGAAUGUUAUUUUUAUUUUAUUUUUUGUAAUACUUCAAAAAGAUUUUUUUUUUAGUAUUAUUCUUUUUUAUAAAAAAAAUACUUUAUCAGUAAAUUAAAGAGAGAAUAAUGCAAUCAAUUAUCAAUGACAACAUGCUAACGUAUAUCAUGCUAAUGAAUAUCAUGUAAAAUGAAAUGCAAUUUAACAGUGGAUUCUUAAAUAUAAUGAGACCACCCCGACUCUCCAACAUCUAGGCAGAGCUUAGGUGCGACUGUUUAUAUUUAAGAUCCCAAUUUACCGUUAUGCUUUUUAUUUAUUAAUCUUAACAUUACUGCGAUUUAAGAAAUCGUGUGAAAAGACUUAAUGAAGUAAAAUUUCCUAAAUACCCCAUCAUCUAGGCGGCAUUCGGGAACAAAUUGCUUCAAAUAGAAUUUUCACACGUGUCCUUAGGAUUUUUAAGACUUUGGAUUUCAUGGAUUUUGGAUUUUGGGGGGUUUUGGAUUUUAGGGAUUUUGGAUUUUUAGGGGUUUUAGAAACUUAUGAUUUUGAAAAUUAAGAACUAGUGUUUAAGGUUUCGUUUUUAAGAAAAUACGAACAUCUCUAAAAAUCUCCAACAUCUAGGCAGAUUUUCGAAGCAAGUUCGAUUUUAGUGAUUUUUGAAAAUUAAUUUAAAAACUUCUUAUAUUUAUUUUUUUUAUGAAAAUUUAUUAAUAAUAAUUCCCCAACAUCUAGGCGAAAUUAUUGUUUUAGAAAAAUACUUUUUAUUCCCUCCAACAUCUAGGCAGGGAAAAUUAUUAUUAUUAUUUUUUAAAGCAUUUUAAUAUAUUUUAUAUUAUUAUUUUUUUAUUAUUGAAACAAUUAAACAUUUAUUCUAACAAAUUUAAAAAUUUAUCAUGCAUAAAUAUAAGAAUAUACUUAAAAUAACAAUAAAAUAAUAUAUAAAAAAAUUCAAAAAAAAAUUACCUGAACCGGUCCGGUCAACGGUCCGGUCAACGAUCGGUUCGGCUGGACCACGGUUCGGUUCAGGAAUGGUUCGAACCGGCGCUCGGUUAGGUUCAGGAACGGUUCGACCGGUUCGCUGGCGGUUCGUCUGAACCGACUGGAGGUUGACUGGGGCGGGUAGACGGUUCGGUUCGCGUGGAUCUCGGGUCGGGUUUGGUCCACGCGCAGAUCCUCUGCUCUUGAAACGGCGUCGUUUUGGUCUUAUGCCCAAAACGACGUCGUUUUGCUCUUAAUGUCUUCUAUAAAUAACUGAAAAAAUUUUUUUUUUUGCUCAUUUGUUUCUGUUUCCAGAAAAAAAAGGGAUAGAGAGAGAGAGCGCUUGGGGGGAGAGUUCGGUCGGCCACCGUCCGCCACCGGCUACCGGACCACCACCUCGGUCGCCGUGCGGCUCGCCGUCGGCCGUCGCUGCUGGUGGUUUCCGAUCACCGAAAAAUGCCAGAAAGUCACCAGAACUUCCUCUUGACGCCCUCUUUCCAGAUCCGGCGUUCGUUUUGCCAAAAACAGCCCCGAUCGGCGUAGAUCGGGGCUUGAAGCUUUCGGUUUCCUUUUUUUCUUUUUUUUUUUUAGACGGCUUAAACUGAUGAUUUCUUUGCUUGUUUACAGGGCUUUCUGGCGCUGAGGUUCCUCCCUACGGGGAGGAUUGUUUGACUUCUUUUUUUUUUGUGUUUCUGUUUCUAUGUUUCUGGCUUUUUGCGUUUCUGUUUCUUUUUUUUUGGGUUUCUGUUUCUGUUUUUUUUUUUUCUUUUUUUGGGUUUCUGUUUUUGGGUAUUUUUGGGGUGUUUUGAGGGAGGUUUUCGGAGAGGUUGAAGGGAUUCGAGAGAUUUUUUUUUUUUAGCCCGUCGAGCGCCCCCAAAUGAGGAAGAUGUCGGGGGAUUUUAAAGGGUUUUAACUUAGGGGAAUCUAGGGCUGUAGGGUUGUUAGUUGGUGGUUAUAGGGUGGCUGGUCAGGUAGUUGGUAAGGUAAUUGGUCGGAGAGUUGGUUGGGUAAUUGGUCGGGGAGUUGGUCGGGACAGUUCGGCGUCGUACCAAUCCCUUGACUUCUGUCUUAUUUUCGUUUUAUUUUUUUGUUUGUUUUGUUUUCUU